GUGUGACUCGCUGGGAAAUCCCCACUUUUUUUGGGUGUAACAUCUGUCAUACUAAUAUUGUUCGUAUAAAUUGUAGCCUAUGUCACCCGGUCUAUAAUAACGAGUCGAUUGACACUUCAUUCAUCUAAAUCGGUUCAGUAGUUUAGGCGCUGCAGUGGAACAUACAUAGAUACGAGUAUACAUACGA